CAUUAAGUAGCUUAAAUGAAAGCGCUAAUCUUUUAAGUUAGUGAUAAGUAAUAACUUUUUAAUGG